GACGAACGCUGGCGGCGUGCUUAACACAUGCAAGUCGAACGGAAAGGCCCUGCUUUUGUGGGGUGCUCGAGUGGCGAACGGGUGAGUAACACGUGAGUAACCUGCCCUUGACUUUGGGAUAACUUCAGGAAACUGGGGCUAAUACCGGAUAGGAGAUCCUGCUGCAUGGUGGGGGUUGGAAAGUUUCGGCGGUUGGGGAUGGACUCGCGGCUUAUCAGCUUGUUGGUGGGGUAGUGGCUUACCAAGCCUUUGACGGGUAGCCGGCAUGAGAGGGUGACCGGCGACAUUGGGACUGAGAGACGGCCCAGACUCCUACGGGAGGCAGCAGUGGGGAAUAUUGCACAAUGGGCGGAAGCCUGAUGCAGCGACGCCGCGUGCGGGAUGACGGCCUUCGGGGUGUAAACCGCUUUCGCCUGUGACGAAGCGUGAGUGACGGUAAUGGGUAAAGAAGCACCGGCUAACUACGUG
rnacentral:rRNA from 1 species